UACAUGGGGUGCAAACGUUGCUCGGAAUUAUUGGGCGUAAAGCGCGCGUAGGCGGUUACUCAAGUCGGAUGUGAAAUCCCUCGGCUCAACUGAGGAACUGCCUUUGAAACUGUCGGGCUUGAGGCCGGGAGGGGGUAGCGGAAUUCCCAGUGUAGCGGUGAAAUGCGUAGAUAUUGGGAGGAACACCAGUGGCGAAGGCGGGUCUCUGGGCCGUAACUGACGCUGAGGAGCGAAAGCGUGGGGAGCGAACAGG
rnacentral:rRNA from 1 species